UUGACUGAUUGGUUUUUAGGUUUCGUGUGUUUUGGAGCUUCCUAAAUGUUUUCCAAGCGUUGGGUUGCAAUUGGGUAAAUUUUGGUUUAGUGGAUGUAGAGGACGACUCUGUAGCACCGUACUUGAGAUAUUGCGACUGAAGCUCGACGCGGCAAUUGUAAUGUGAUGGACUAUGGGUUGUCCCUGUCUUUUGUAAUUAUUCUAUAUAUGAAUCAUGUCUUAU